rnacentral:rRNA from 1 species
UGUCGUCAGCUCGUGUCGUGAGAUGUUCGGUUAAGUCCGCUAACGAGCGCAACCCUCGUCGUAUGUUAUAUGUGUCAUACGAGACUGCCGGUAAAAGACCGGAGGAAGGUGAGGAUGAUGUCAAGUCAGCAUGACCUUUAUAUCCAGGGCGUACACACGCGCUACAAUGGUCUGUACAAUGGGUAGCCAAGCCGCGAGGCGGAGCCAAUCCUGAAAGCAGGCCUCAGUUCAGAUUGCAGUCUGCAACUCGACUGCAUGAAGCCGGAGUUGCUAGUAACCGCAGGUCAGCAAUACUGCGGUGAAUAUGUUCCCGGGUCCUU